CCUCUGAAUCCAAACUACUCUCAGAGUCUAUCUUUCAUUCAUAAAAACAUAACCUAUCAUCCAUAAACGUAACAGUUCUAGUUAGGGAAGGUCCUAAGCGUCUGCCUCUCCCUCUGCAGUAGUGCCUUGCUCCACAGCCUUUUCGUCAUUACCUGGACGUUUAAAACAUUUAAAACAAAAUGAGUCGAAUACUCAGUAAGUAGUACACCAUGCAGUGAACAUACUAGGCAUAUAUUCUUUUCUUUUGAAAACAUGCAUACAUAAACAUUUUUGCUAAUUCUUGGCAAUGCUUUCAUAUAUAACAGUUUAAGAAAUAAGCCAUACUUUCAUGCAUAAACAUUU